UACGAGGGGGGCGAGCGUUGUUCGGAAUUAUUGGGCGUAAAGGGUGCGUAGGCGGUUUGGUAAGUCUUAUGUGAAAUCUACAGGCUCAACUUGUAGUCUGCAUGAGAAACUGCCGGGCUUGAGUAUGGGAGAGGUGAGUGGAAUUCCGAGUGUAGAGGUGAAACUCGUAGAUAUUCGGAAGAACACCAGUGGCGAAGGCGGCUCACUGGACCGGUAUUGACGCUGAGGUGCGAAAGCGUGGGGAGCAAACAGG
rnacentral:rRNA from 1 species